UUUAGCAACCAUAGCGCAGCGGUACCACCUGAUUCCAUGCCGAACUCAGAAGUGAAACGUUGUAGCGCCGAUGGUAGUGUGGGGUCUCCCCAUGUGAGAGUAGGACAUUGCUAAAU
rnacentral:rRNA from 1 species